rfam:Triticum aestivum genome assembly, contig: Triticum_aestivum_CS42_TGACv1_scaffold_642670_T_1DL-0.156136_5AS-0.113331
UAGUUGCUUCCCUCCGUUUCAAAUUACUCGUCGCACAAAUGGAUGUAUCUAGAACUAAAAUACAUCUAGAUACAUCCAUAUCUGCGACAAGUAAUUCGGAACGGAGGGAGUAGUAA